rnacentral:rRNA from 1 species
GACAGAGGGUGCAAACGUUGUUCGGAAUUACUGGGCGUAAAGCGCGUGUAGGCUGCUUCGCAAGUCGGAUGUGAAAGCCCUGGGCUCAACCCAGGAAGUGCAUUCGAAACUGCAGAGCUGGAGUCCUGGAGAGGAAGGCGGAAUUCUCGGUGUAGAGGUGAAAUUCGUAGAUAUCAAGCGGAACACCGGUGGCGAAGGCGGCCUUCUGGACAGUGACUGACGCUGAGACGCGAAAGCGUGGGGAGCAAACAGG